GUUCUAGGUGGUUGAGAUUCAGACCCUGACAGUUGUAACUGAUGGACUAGGCUGGGCACUGCUGAUGAACCUCACAUUCCUGAGAGAAAAAUCAUCCAAAAGUAUUCUUCAACUUUCUAGAAGUCAUUAUGAGGGGCCCUGACUAACUGAGGAGACUCAUACAGAAACCCUUGUCCCCAUCACAGAUACCUGGUUACCGUGUUCCUUCAAGAUGGCCAUCCCUUGGGAGGAUUACCCUUGGGCCUCAGAGAAGAAAGAAAACCAAAAGGCAUAAACAAUAAAUUGAAAAUUGAAGGUGAAAGUCAAGUCUAAAGAUUUAGAGUAAGAGUUGUAGGUAGUAUGAAGUGAUAUCCUUAAAGGGAAUAAACUCUACCUGAGGUAGUAGGACAUUAGUUAGUUAA